UACGUAGGCAGCGAGCGUUGUUCGGAGUUACUGGGCGUAAAGGGUGUGUAGGCGGUUCUUUAAGUUUGGUGUGAAAUCUCCCGGCUCAACCGGGAGGGUGCGCCGAAUACUGAGGGACUCGAGUGCGGGAGAGGAAAGUGGAAUUCCUGGUGUAGCGGUGAAAUGCGUAGAUAUCAGGAGGAACACCGGUGGUGUAGACGGCUUUCUGGACCGUAACUGACGCUGAGACGCGAAAGCGUGGGGAGCGAACAGG
rnacentral:rRNA from 1 species